AUGUCGGAUACAACAUAUUUUACUGAUGCGUGGCAGCCGAAAGAAGUACUGGAUCCGGAAACCGAGACAAAUGCCAAUGAGUCCAUAAUUCAAAUGGUGUUUUAUCAUAAGCUGGCUUGUAUCUAUCACAUAAUAAUGUCGAAUUAUACAUGGAAACAAGCUGAUAUUCAAACUCUCAUUUCAUUUUAUGAAACACUUGGCGAAGAAAUAAAUCCGAAGGUUCAGAAAGUGCAGCAGAACUCGGAGGCGAAUUCGUUCAGUGAGAAAGCAAAAAAAUUCGGGCUUUUGGAUCUUCCAAUUUACUCAAAAUGCGUUGAUUCAUCACAACUCAUCGCCGAAUCCGCUUCACGUGUUUAUCAUGAUGCAAAAGAAUACAUGAACAAUGGAUCAGCGACUGAGGCAGAACUAUAUCGAUUUGUUUCAUCAAUUCUGAAAGAAGUUCUGGAACCUAUCUUUAAUCCUAAAGAGAUUCGAAAUGUGCUAAAAGGACUCAUCACAUCGCUUGUAGACAGUCGAAGUAGAGAUGAAGAGAUUGGAAGUGACAUUGAAAAGAAUGUCAAAUACGAAGUCGUCAGAUUUCUUCCAGAAAGUCCUCCGAAUUUUCCUGGCUUUAACGACAAUGUAUCCCGUUCAAUUACCAAUUUUAUUGGAUAUUUUGCGCUUCACACAAUCAGGCACCAUUGCUACGUAAACUUCGGAGUCGACGGCGAGCUGAAGUUUUAUCAACGGAAUAUGUAUAAAAAAGCUUUUGACGACUUGAGAGUUAACAAAGCCAAACCAACUGUCAGUGUUAAACCAGAAGCAUCACUUAAAAGAGAGCCAAAAGCAGAGACUCCGACGCUUACACGAGUCAAACCAGAGAUCCGUAACGACUCGGACGAGGAUUUCUGUGAAAUAAUUGAGCCUGUUAAUUUCAGUGUAAACUUUUUAAAUCAAAAAUUAAUAUACCUUUCCAUAUUAAUUUUUGAUUAAAAAAGAUUAUCACACUGAAAUUAAACGUUUUGGUUUUUCAAAUUUUAAUGUUUCCAAUUUCAGGCUGUCAAGAAAUCCAAAACUCGGCAAACAUCGGAAAGCAAUGCCAAAGGUGGAAAAGAAUUGAAAGAUUUCCCGGAAAAAUAUAUGCUUGAAGACCUCGACAAAGACGACCUUCCCAUGAACUUCAAGACCAAAUUUCGGAAGCUCGUCGAGCAGAAUCAAAUGCUUCGCGAUGAAAUUAACGACUACAAAGAGCUGAUUCAACUGAAAAUUGCCGAGAAGAAACAGCGAAUGGGCUAA